rnacentral:lncRNA from 1 species
CUUCUUUUAGACAUAGAAAUGAUUUUUAUUUUUGUAGUUCUUACAGUCAAAGAGUGCUUCUGUGUCAAUGGCUCCUUUAAUUUUUGAACAAUACUAUGAAGACACGGAAUGCUAGAGAGCAGACUCAGAGAAGAUUAUCCAUGUACCACGAUAAAAGAUGGUGGAAUAUUUAUCCCACGGCCCCACCAAGAGUUCCAAAAAAGAAAGAGUUGGUCAUUGGCGCAUUUCCCAAAGUCUCGGUUGGGUUGCUUAGACUGCGUGCACCUUCAUCCUCAUCGUCAACGUCAUCCACAGUAACCCAGGAGCAGUGGCCCACUGGUGCCUGGAAGAAGUGGCCUAAAAGUGAGUAGCGCUGAAUUCGAGC